rnacentral:rRNA from 1 species
AGAGUUUGAUCAUGGCUCAGGAUGAACGCUAGCUACAGGCUUAACACAUGCAAGUCGAGGGGCUAGCAUUUUAGUUUGCUUGCAAACUAAGAUGGCGACCGGCGCACGGGUGAGUAACACGUAUCCAACCUGACCGAUAACUCGGGGAUAGCCUUUCGAAAGAAAGAUUAAUAUCCGAUAGUAUAUUAAAACCGCAUGGUUUUACUAUUAAAGAAUUUCGGUUAUCGAUGGGGAUGCGUUCCAUUAGUUUGUUGGCGGGGUAACGGCCCACCAAGACUACGAUGGAUAGGGGUUCUGAGAGGAAGGUCCCCCACAUUGGAACUGAGACACGGUCCAAACUCCUACGGGAGGCAGCA